rnacentral:lncRNA from 1 species
CACACACACAUGCAAAGGAGCUGCAUGCAUGCACUAUGUGCACACACAGAUGCAAAAGAGCUGCAUGCAUGAACCACGUGCACACACCUCAUGGAAAGGAGCUCCAUGCAUGAACGAUGUGCAGACCCACAUACAAAAGAGCUGCAUGCAUGCACUACGUGCACAUACACAUGCAAAGGAGCUGCACGCAUGCACAAAGUGCACAUAAUCACGUGAAAAGCAGCUGCAUGCAUUCACCAUGGGCACACUGACAUGCAAAGGAGCUGCAUGCAUGCAACAUGGCCACACACUCACAUGCAAAGCAGCUGCAUGCAUGCACGAUGUGCACACACACAUGCAAAGCAGCUGUGCACACACACAUGCAAAGCAGCUGCAUGCAUGCACCAUGUGCACACACUCACAUGCAAAGCAGCUGCAUGCAUGCAACAUGUCCACACACACACAUGCAAAGGAGCUGCAUGCACGCACUACGUGUACACCCACAUGCAACGCAGCUGCAUGCAUGCAACAUGGCCACACACUCACAUGCAAAGCAGCUCCAUGCACGCACUAUGUGCACACCCACAUGCAAAAGAGCUGCAUGCAUGCACUAUGUGCACACACUCAUAUGCAAAGCAGCUGCAUGCAUGCACGAGGUGCACACACACAUGCAAAGGAGCUGUGCACACCCACAUGCAAAGCAGCUGCAUGCAUGCACUGUGUGCACAAACACUUGCAAAUCAUCCGCAUGCAUGCACUACGUGCACACACACACGCAAAGCAGCUGCAUGCAUGCACUAUAUGCACACACCCCCAAGCAAAGGAGCUGCAUGCAUGCAUUAUAUGCAAACCCACAUACAGAAGAGCUGCAUGCAUGCACGAUGUGCACACACCCACAUGCAAAGCAGCUGCAUGCAUGCAUUAUGGGCACACACAUGCAAAGCAGCUGUGCACACACACAUGCAGAGGACCUGCAUGCAUGCACUAUGUGCACACCCACAUGCAAAGCAGCUGCAUGCAUGCACCACGGGCGCACACACAUGCAAAGGAGCUGCAUGCAUACACUGUGCACACAUCCACAUGCAAAGGAGCUGCAUGCAUGCACUAUGUGCACACACAGAUGCAAAAGAGCUGCAUGCAUGCACUGUGCACACUCACGUACAAAGCAGCUGCAUGCAUGCACAAUGUUCACACACCCACAUGCAAAGCAGCUGCAAGCAUGCACUAUGUGCACACACUCACGUGCAAAGGAGCUGCAUGCAUGCACUGUGCACACCCACAUGCAAAGCAGCUGCACGCACGCACUGCGCGCACCCCCCCCGUGCAAAGGAGCUGCGCUCACACGGGCACGCACUGCGCAUGCGCACAC